GAUGAACGCUAGCGGCAGGCCUAACACAUGCAAGUCGAGCGGUAUUUGUUAUUCUGAACAGGGAGAGCGGCGCACGGGUGCGGAACACGCGUGCAACUUGCCUUUAUCUGGGGGAUAGCCUUUCGAAAGGAAGAUUAAUACCCCAUAAUAUAUUGAGUGGCAUCAUUUGAUAUUGAAGACUCCGGUGGAUAGAGAUGGGCACGCGCAAGAUUAGAUAGUUGGUGAGGUAACGGCUCACCAAGUCAAUGAUCUUUAGGUGGCCUGAGAGGGUGAUCCCCCAGAGUGGUACUGAGACACGGACCAGAGUGCUAAGGGACGGAGGAGUAAGGUAUAUUGGAGGAGGGGUUAGGGUCUGAUCCAGCCAUGCCGGGUGAAGGACGACGGCGCUAUGGGUUGUAUACUUCUUUUGUGUAGGGAUAGACCUUUUAUACGGAGAGUAGCUGACGGUACUAUAAGAAUAAGCACCGGCUAACUCCGUG
rnacentral:rRNA from 1 species